rnacentral:RNase_P_RNA from 1 species
GUUGGUGCGAAGUUGAUUUAAGGAGUGCCGCGCAGGUGCAUCAGUCACCUCUGAUCUUUGAACUCUCCUGGGAAGGUCUGAGAUGAGGUUCCAACUUACUCUUAUCGUUGAUUUGGUAAGGGAAGUUGUAUCCACCUAGCAGGGGAUCUCCCUAGUUGGGGGAAGGGCCGUACCAGAAAAAAUCGGUUCAUUUGCUGCUAUAUGCGUGGCACAAGACGACCAGUCGGUGGCAACAUUGGCUGCGCCGGAUGCUUGGUGUGUAUAGCGGCAGUUUGGAAACGGCGCUGAUACCAGCUGUGCUGAGUGCGAUAAUCAUAGUUAACUCAAUUCAGACUACUCUCUCGCCAAC